rnacentral:rRNA from 1 species
AACGAACGCUGGCGGCAGGCUUAACACAUGCAAGUCGAACGCAUCCUUCGGGGUGAGUGGCAGACGGGUGAGUAACGCGUGGGAACGUGCCCUUCAGUUCGGGAUAACCCAGGGAAACUUGGGCUAAUACCGGAUACGUGCGAGAGCAGAAAGAUUUAUCGCUGAAGGAUCGGCCCGCGUCUGAUUAGCUAGUUGGUGGGGUAAUGGCCCACCAAGGCUACGAUCAGUAGCUGGUCUGGGAGGAUGAUCAGCCACAUUGGGACUGUGACACGGGCCAAACUCCUACGGGAGGCAGCAGUGGGGAAUAUUGGACAAUGGGCGCAAGCUUGAUCCAGCCAUGCCGCGUGAGUGAUGAAGGCCUUAGGGUUGUAAAGCUCUUUCGUCCGGGACGAUAAUGACGGUACCGGAGGAAGAAGCCCCGGCUAACUUCGUGCCAGCCGCCGCCGUAA